rnacentral:rRNA from 1 species
GAACGCGAAGAACCUUACCAGGUCUUGACAUCCCUGCAUGCAUCAUGCUCUAGAGAUAGAGUUGUUCACUUCGGGACAUCAGGUGACAGGUGGUGCAUGGUUGUCGUCAGCUCGUGUCGUGAGAUGUUGGGUUAAGUCCCGCAACGAGCGCAACCCCUAUUGUUAGUUGCCAUCAUUCAGUUGGGCACUCUAGCGAGACUGCCGGUAAUAAACCGGAGGAAGGUGGGGAUGACGUCAAAUCAUCAUGCCCCUUAUGACCUGGGCUACACACGUGCUACAAUGGUUGGUACAACGAGUCGCNAGUCGGUGACGGCAAGCUAAUCUCUUAAAGCCAAUCUCAGUUCGGAUUGUAGGCUGCAACUCGCCUACAUGAAGUCGGAAUCGCUAGUAAUCGCGGAUCAGCACGCCGCGGUGAAUACGUUCCCGGGUCUUGUACACACC